GGUCUUUACCUUGUAUGUUCUCAUCCCUGCAGAGAUUUCAGAGCCAAGAGUGUGUAUCAACAUGAAGAAACAAUCAUCAAUCCAUCAAUGAGGAUCAUCCAUUGUUGUCAAGAUUUAUCCAAGUAUUCAAGAACUCGAAUUGGUUCUACGAAGA